AGCAACUUCAUUCUCUUCAUUCAUUCAGAGUUGGAGAGCAAUCACUUGUAGAGAGAAGUGAGAGCAAAUACAGAGAGAGCUACUUAGAGUUCUAGAGAGAGAAAGAGCUUUGUAGUAGGCACUCUUGUAUUCUAGCAGUUAGUGGGUAGCUGGUCCCAAUAUAUAAGGACAGCUGGCCUAGAUUGUUAGGACCUUUUUGUGUUAAUAAAAAGGUUGGGGGUUUCCCCGAAUAUCGUGGCUCUUGUGAUUCUGUUGAUUAUUACUAACCCCUUUUGCAGGUUGGGUUAGCUGCGCAUUGCUGGCCAAGCUCUAGGAGUAGAGUUGGCGCAUCACUUAGGCGA
rnacentral:lncRNA from 1 species